rnacentral:rRNA from 1 species
CGUUGAUUACGUCCCUGCCCUUUGUACACACCGCCCGUCGCUACUACCGAUUGAAUGGCUCAGUGAGGCGUUCGGACUGGCCCAAGGAGGUUGGCAACAACCACUCAGGGCCGGAAAGCUCUCCAAACUCGGUCAUUUAGAGGAAGUAAAAGUCGUAACAAGG